rnacentral:pre_miRNA from 1 species
AAAGUACUCCCUCCGUCCCAAAAUUCUUGUCUUAGAUUUGUCUAGAUACGGAUGUAUCAAGUCACAUUUUAGUAUUAGAUACAUCUGUAUCUAGACAAAUCUAANAGUAUUAGAUACAUCCGUAUCUAGACAAAUCUAAGACAAGAAAUUUGGGACAGAGGGAGUAGUUG